GUGCCAGCAGCCGCGGUAAGACAGAGGUGGCGACCGUUGUUCGGAAUCACUGGGCAUAAAGCGCGUGUAGGCGGCAUUAUAAGUCGGGUGUGAAAUCCCUCGGCCUAACCGAGGAAUUGCGCUCGAAACUAUCUUGCUUGAGGAUCAGAGGGGAGCCUGGAAUUCCUGGUGGAGCGGUGAAAUGCGUUGAUAUCAGGAGGAACACCGGCGGCGAAGGCGAGGCUCUGGCUGAUUUCUGACGCUGAGACGCGAAAGCUAGGGGAGCAAACGGGAUUAGAUACCCCUGUAGUCC
rnacentral:rRNA from 1 species